rnacentral:rRNA from 1 species
AGUGAAUAGAUACCCAGGUAGUCCUAGCCGUAAACGAUACUCGCUAGGUGUCGGCCACGGUGCGACCGUUGUCGGUGCCGUAGGGAAAGCCGUGAAGCGAGCCACCUGGGAAGUACGGCCGCAAGGCUGAAACUUAAAGGAAUUGGCGGGGGAGCACCACAACGGGUGGAGCUUGCGGUUAAAUUGGAUUCAACGCCGGAAAUCUUACCGGGACCGACAGCGAUAUGAAGGCCAGGCUGAAGACUUUGCCGGAUUAGCUGAGAGGUGGUGCAUGGCCGUCGUCAGUUCGUACUGUGAAGCAUCCUGGUAAGUCAGGCAACGAGCGAGACCCACGCCCACAGUUGCCAGCGUACUCUCCGGAGUGACGGGUACACUGUGGGGACCGCCGCUGCUAAAGCGGAGGAAGGAAUGGGCAACGGUAGGUCAGUAUGCCCCGAAUAUCCCGGGCUACACGCGAGCUACAAUGGUUGGAACAAUGGGUAUCUACCCCGAAAGGGGAUGGAAAUCUCCUAAAUCCAAUCUUAGUUCGGAUUGAGGGCUGCAACUCGCCCUC